rnacentral:snRNA from 1 species
GUGCUCACUUCGGCAGCACAUAUACUAAAAUUGGAACGAUACAGAGAAGAUUAGUGUGGCCCCUGCGCAAGGAUGACAUGCAAAUUCAUGAAGCGUUCCAUAUUUAA